UACGUAGGGUGCAAGCGUUGUCCGGAAUUAUUGGGCGUAAAGAGCUCGUAGGCGGUUUGUCGCGUCUGCUGUGAAAACUCGGGGCUUAACCCCGGGCCUGCAGUGGGUACGGGCAGACUAGAGUGCGGUAGGGGAGACUGGAAUUCCUGGUGUAGCGGUGAAAUGCGCAGAUAUCAGGAGGAACACCGGUGGCGAAGGCGGGUCUCUGGGCCGUAACUGACACUGAAGCGCGAAAGCUAGGGGAGCAAACGGG
rnacentral:rRNA from 1 species